CGGUAGAGAGAAGCUUGCUUCUCUUGAGAGCGGCGGACGGGUGAGUAAUGCCUAGGAAUCUGCCUGGUAGUGGGGGAUAACGUUCGGAAACGGACGCUAAUACCGCAUACGUCCUACGGGAGAAAGCAGGGGACCUUCGGGCCUUGCGCUAUCAGAUGAGCCUAGGUCGGAUUAGCUAGUUGGUGAGGUAAUGGCUCACCAAGGCGACGAUCCGUAACUGGUCUGAGAGGAUGAUCAGUCACACUGGAACUGAGACACGGUCCAGACUCCUACGGGAGGCAGCAGUGGGGAAUAUUGGACAAUGGGCGAAAGCCUGAUCCAGCCAUGCCGCGUGUGUGAAGAAGGUCUUCGGAUUGUAAAGCACUUUAAGUUGGGAGGAAGGGCAGUUACCUAAUACGUGAUUGUUUUGACGUUACCGACAGAAUAAGCACCGGCUAACUCUGUGCCAGCAGCCGCGGUAAUACAGAGGGUGCAAGCGUUAAUCGGAAUUACUGGGCGUAAAGCGCGCGUAGGUGGUUUGUUAAGUUGGAUGUGAAAUCCCCGGGCUCAACCUGGGAACUGCAUUCAAAACUGACUGACUAGAGUAUGGUAAGGGUGGGUGGAAUUUCCUGUGUAGCGGUGAAAUGCGUAGAUAUAGGAAGGAACACCAGUGGCGAAGGCGACCACCUGGACUGAUACUGACACUGAGGUGCGAAAGCGUGGGGAGCAAACAGGAUUAGAUACCCUGGUAGUCCACGCCGUAAACGAUGUCAACUAGCCGUUGGGAGCCUUGAGCUCUUAGUGGCGCAGCUAACGCAUUAAGUUGACCGCCUGGGGGAGUACGGCCGCAAGGUUAAAACUCAAAUGAAAUUGACGGGGGCCCGCACAAGCGGUGGAGCAUGGGGGUUUAAUUCGAAGCAACGCGAAGAACCUUACCAGGCCUUGACAUCCAAUGAACUUUCUAGAAAAAAAGAUUGGUGCCUUCCGGGAACAUUGAAGACAGGUGCUGGCAUGGCUGUC
rnacentral:rRNA from 1 species